AUGGAUCCUGGCUUAAAUCUACAUGGCCCCUGGAUUGGACUGCGGCCGAUCAGGCUGUUGGUGAGGUAAUGGCCCACCAAACCUAUAACCGGUACGGGCUCUGAGAGGAGAAGCCCGGAGAUGGGCACUAAGAUAAGGGCCCAGGCCCUACGGGGCGCAGCAGGCGCGAAAACUCCGCAAUGCGCGAAAGCGUGACGGGGUUACCCCGAGUGCCGUCCGCUGAGGAUGGCUUUUGCCCGGUUUAACUAGCCAGGUGAAUAAGGGGAGGGCAAGUCUGGUGUCAGCCGCCGCGGUAAUACCAGCUCCCCGAGUGGUUGGGACGAUUAUUGGGUCUGAAGCGUCCGUAGCCGGCCGGAAAAGUUCCCCGUUAAAUCUGGCGAUCCAAUCGCUGGGCUGCGGGGAAUACUCUUCGGCUUGGGGGCGAGGGAGGUCGGCGGUAGUCCCGGGGUAGGGGCGAAAUCCUAUAAUCCCGGGAGGACCACCAGUGGCGAAGGCGGCCGACUAAAGCGCGCCCGACGGUGAGGGACGAAAGCUGGGGGAGCGAACGGGAUUAGAUACCCCGGUAGUCCCAGCUGUAAACGAUGCAGGCUAGGUGUUGGGACGGCUACGAGCUGUCCCAGUGCCGCAGGGAAGCCAUUA
rnacentral:rRNA from 1 species